GACAGAGGGGGCAAGCGUUGCUCGGAAUUACUGGGCGUAAAGGGCUCGUAGGCGGCGCGGGAAGUCAUCGGUGAAAGUUCAGGGCUCAACUCUGAAUCGGCCGGUGAUACUCUCGUGCUCGAGCACUGUAGAGGCAGGUGGAAUUCCGGGUGUAGCGGUGGAAUGCGUAGAGAUCCGGAAGAACACCGGUGGCGAAGGCGGCCUGCUGGGCAGUAGCUGACGCUGAUGCGCGACAGCGUGGGGAGCAAACAGG
rnacentral:rRNA from 1 species